rnacentral:rRNA from 1 species
UACAGAGGUCUCGAGCGUUGUUCGGAUUCAUUGGGCGUAAAGGGCGCGUAGGCGGCGGGGUAAGUCUGGUGUGAAAUCUCGGAGCUCAACUCCGAAAUUGCACUGGAUACUGCUCUGCUAGAGGGCUGGAGAGGAGAUCGGAAUUCACGGUGUAGCAGUGAAAUGGCGUAGAUAUCGUGAGGAAGACCAGUGGCGAAGGCGGAUCUCUGGACAGCUCCUGACGCUGAGGCGCGAAGGCUAGGGGAGCAAACGGG